GAUUGAACGCUGGCGGCAUGCCUUACACAUGCAAGUCGAACGUGAAAGCGGGGCAACCCGCAAGUAGAGUGGCGGGACGGGUGAGUAAUACAUCGGAACGUGUCCAGUAAUGGGGGAUAACCUAGCGAAAGUUAGGCUAAUACCGCAUAUGAUCUGCGGAUGAAAGCGGGGGAUGCGGCACUAAAGGCUUUUGGCGAAGGUGGCCAAAGGUGAGUCAAGAGCUUUUAGGCUGCACCUCGCGUUAUUGGAGCGGCUGAUGUCUGAUUAGCUAGUUGGUGAGGUAAAGGCUUACCAAGGCGACGAUCAGUAGCUGGUCU
rnacentral:rRNA from 1 species